GUGCCAGCAGCCGCGGUAAAACGUAGGGGGCGAGCGUUAUCCGGAUUUACUGGGCGUAAAGCGCACGCAGGCGGCGGAUCAAGUUGGACGUGAAAGCUCCCGGCUUAACUGGGAGAGGUCGUUCGAGACUGAUCGGCUCGAGGCCAAGAGAGGAGAGCAGAAUUCCCGGUGUAGUGGUGGAAUGCGUAGAUAUCGGGAGGAAUACCAGUGGCGAAGGCGGCUCUCUGGCUUGGAACUGACGCUGAGGUGCGAAAGCGUGGGGAGCGAACGGGAUUAGAAACCCUUGUAGUCC
rnacentral:rRNA from 1 species